rnacentral:rRNA from 1 species
UACGAAGGGGGCUAGCGUUACUCGGAAUUACUGGGCGUAAAGGGCGCGUAGGCGGCGUUCCAAGUUAGGCGUGAAAGUCCUGGGCUCAACCUGGGAACUGCGCUUAAGACUGGAAUGCUAGAGGAUGGAAGAGGGGUUGUGGAAUUCCCAGUGUAGAGGUGAAAUCGUAGAUAUUGGGAAGAACACCGGUGGCGAAGGCGGCAACCUGGUCCAUUUCUGACGCUGAGGCGCGAUAGCGUGGGGAGCAAACAGG